CCGAGCCUUCAGCCCUCCCUGGCACUUCAGUGUCGAGCUCAACUAACAGGUGCUGGGGGCGGUGGAGUUAGGACUUCAACGUGUGAAUUUUGUGGGACACAACGCAUCCCCUGGCAGCAAAGACCACAGCCAACGUCAUACCAUAGCGACUUAGGUGAGUGCCUUGUUGCUUCACGAGGCGAGCAGAGACUGCGUCCAAUUCAGCCCUGUGUCCAGCUCAGCACUUUUAAGGGGACGCGCCCACUUCUGGGCAAGUCCAGACCUUAAAGCCGAGGUAGCCAAGUGGUCACCCUGUGUAGGGGGAAGAUGAGUGCCAUCUUUUUGCUCCUUCGUGUCAUGAAACAGAGGAGCACAGCCAGUGUCUCUGCCUCAGCCAGAGGGGGAUCUCAGGAAGCUUGAGGAGCUGGGGGGGGCGCUUUGGGUGAGGUCUAGGGUCAGCG
rnacentral:lncRNA from 1 species